GACGUAGGAUGCGAGCGUUGUCCGGAUUUAUUGGGCGUAAAGAGUUCGUAGGCGGUUUGUUAAGUUCGAUGUUAAAUAUCAGGGCCCAACCCUGAGACUGCAUUGAAUACUGGCAGACUGGAGUGCGGUAGAGGUAAGUGGAAUUCCUGGUGUAGCGGUGAAAUGCGUAGAUAUCAGGAAGAACACCAGUGGCAUAGGCGACUUACUGGGCCGUAUCUGACGCUGAGGAACGAAAGCCAGGGGAGCAAAUGGG
rnacentral:rRNA from 1 species